rnacentral:rRNA from 1 species
UCGAACGGAACUGUUUUGAAAGAUUUCUUCGGAAUGAAUUUGAUUUAGUUCAGUGGCGGACGGGUGAGUAACGCGUGAGUAACCUGCCUUCAAGAGGGGGAUAACAUUCUGAAAAGAAUGCUAAUACCGCAUGACAUAUCGGAAUCACAUGGUUUUGAUAUCAAAGAUUUUAUCGCUUGAAGAUGGACUCGCGUCCGAUUAGUUAGUUGGUGAGGUAACGGCUCACCAAGACCGCGAUCGGUAGCCGGACUGAGAGGUUGAACGGCCACAUUGGGACUGAGACACGGCCCAGACUCCUACGGGAGGCAGCAGUGGGGGAUAUUGCGCAAUGGGGGCAACCCUGACGCAGCAACGCCGCGUGAAGGAUGAAGGUUUUCGGAUUGUAAACUUCUUUUAUUAAGGACGAAACUUGACGGUACUUAAUGAAUAAGCUCCGGCUAACUACGUGCCAGCAGCCGCGGUAAUACGUAGGGAGCAAGCGUUGUCCGGAUUUACUGGGUGUAAAGGGUGCGUAGGCGGCUUUGCAAGUCAGAUGUGAAAUCUAUGGGCUCAACCCAUAAACUGCAUUUGAAACUGUAGAGCUUGAGUGAAGUAGAGGCAGGCGGAAUUCCCCGUGUAGCGGUGAAAUGCGUAGAGAUGGGGAGGAACACCAGUGGCG